UGGUGGGUAGUUUGACUGGGGCGGUCUCCUCCUAAAGAGUAACGGAGGAGCACGAAGGUUGGCUAAUCCUGGUCGGACAUCAGGAGGUUAGUGCAAUGGCAUAAGCCAGCUUGACUGCGAGCGUGACGGCGCGAGCAGGUGCGAAAGCAGGUCAUAGUGAUCCGGUGGUUCUGAAUGGAAGGGCCAUCGCUCAACGGAUAAAAGGUACUCCGGGGAUAACAGGCUGAUACCGCCCAAGAGUUCAUAUCGACGGCGGUGUUUGGCACCUCGAUGUCGGCUCAUCACAUCCUGGGGCUGAAGUAGGUCCCAAGGGUAUGGCUGUUCGCCAUUUAAAGUGGUACGCGAGCUGGGUUUAGAACGUCGUGAGACAGUUCGGUCCCUAUCUGCCGUGGGCGCUGGAGAACUGAGGGGGGCUGCUCCUAGUACGAGAGGACCGGAGUGGACGCAUCACUGGUGUUCGGGUUGUCAUGCCAAUGGCACUGCCCGGUAGCUAAAUGCGGAAGAGAUAAGUGCUGAAAGCAUCUAAGCACGAAACUUGCCCCGAGAUGAGUUCUCCCUGACUCCUUGAGAGUCCUGAAGGAACGUUGAAGACGACGACGUUGAUAGGCCGGGUGUGUAAGCGCAGCGAUGCGUUGAGCUAACCGGUACUAAUGAA
rnacentral:rRNA from 1 species